rnacentral:rRNA from 1 species
AUUGAACGCUGGCGGCAGGCCUAACACAUGCAAGUCGAACGAGUGGCGGACGGGUGAGUAAUGUCUGGGAAACUGCCUGAUGGAGGGGGAUAACUACUGGAAACGGUAGCUAAUACCGCAUACCAUCGGAUGUGCCCAGAUGGGAUUAGCUUGUUGGUGGGGUAACGGCUCACCAAGGCGACGAUCCCUAGCUGGUCUGCGAGGAUGACCAGACAAACUGGAAAUGAGACACGGUCCAGACUCCUACGGGAGGAAGCAGUGGGGAAUAUGGCACAAUGGGAGCAAGCCUGAUGUAGCCAUGCCGCGUGUAUGAAGAAGGCCUUCGGGUUGUAAAGUACUUGCAGCGGGGAGGCGUUACCCGCAGAAGAAGCACCGGCUAACUCCGUGCCAGCAGCCGCGGUAAUUC